GUCCACGCUGUAAACGAUGAGUACUAGCUGUUGGGAGGCAUAGCCUCUUAGUGGCGCAGCUAACGCGAUAAGUACUCCGCCUGGGGAAUACGGCCGCAAGGCUAAAACUCAAAGGAAUUGACGGGGGCCCGCACAAGCGGUGGAGCAUGUGGUUUAAUUCGAUGCAACGCGAAGAACCUUACCUACCCUUGACAUCCUGUGAACCCGAUAGAGAUAUUGGGGGUCCGAAAGGAAUACAGAGACAGGUGCUGCAUGGCUGUCGU
rnacentral:rRNA from 1 species